GAGGACAUAGCUCAAGUGGUAGAGCGUGUGCUUAGCAUGCACGAGGUCCUGGGUUCAAUCCCCAUACCUCCA
rnacentral:tRNA from 1 species